rnacentral:tRNA from 1 species
GCCGACGUAGCUCAGCAGGCAGAGCACCGGGCCGCCAACCCGGAUAGGCCCGUUCGAUCCGAGUCGUCCGCUUCA